UUUUCAACCCCACCAAACUCUGAAUCUGAACUCGAAAGGGAGGCUGGCCUACACGGCCGGCCGCCCUCAACCAUAUAACGUUGUAAAACUUUCAGCGACGGAUGUCUUGGCUCCCACAACGAUGAAGAACGCAGCGAAAUGCGAUACGUCUUGCGACUUGCAGAAUCCAGUGAAUCAUCAAAACUUUGAACGCAUCUUGCGCUUCCGGGAUACUCCUGGGAGCAUGCUUGUCGGAGUGUCUGUUGACACCACUCGCCCGUCUCUCUUUUUAGGAAGGGCGUCGGGCGGACUCUGAGUGUUCCGGAGCUCUUCGACGCCUUCGGGUGUCGGGGAAGCGCUCCGAGUGCACCGAAUCUCGUGAACGAAACCUCUCUUCUGUCUGUGGCCUAGGUUGCGCAGAGUUGUUGACGGCGCUCGCACCCGGUCAAACGGGUUCGGCGACUCUCGGCUCGAUAAACGCGUGGCUUAGCGUCCCUUUUGGUGAGGGGUUUACUGUUUUUCCGGUGGGAAAUCUAUUUCCCUCCGUGUUUUACUACUUUCGU
rnacentral:misc_RNA from 1 species